GGCCCUGUAGCUCAGUUGGUAGAGCAAAGGACUGAAAAUCCUUGUGUCAUUGGUUCAAUUCCAAUCGGGGCCACCA
rnacentral:tRNA from 2 species